CGGAGUGUGGCGCAGCCUGGUAGCGCACUUGUCUGGGGGACAAGGGGUCGUGGGUUCGAAUCCCGCCACUCCGA
rnacentral:tRNA from 1 species